UUAACACAUCUGCAGCUAAAGUAUGGGAGAGUGAGGGAAGAUCAGAAAAUGAAAAAGCAGAGAAAAUACAUCUGAAUAAAUGGAAGUUAGAACAGGGCUACCAUGCUGUCAUACGACUGGAAACACUGCAAAGCAGCAACGGUCUGGGCAAACUGUGAGAUAAAAAUCACAAAGUGUGAUGGUUAUUAUUUUUAUGGCAGCAUGUAAAAGAAGCUCAAGAUCAGACGAAGUUCUCAUCAUAAAAGAAAACAUGAACAUAUGGGUUGGCUGAAGCAGAAAAAUAUCUCCAGAUACAUAAUGAGGAAGAAACUAAACUGGGUAGCAUGUGUACCCCUGAUGAAUGCAACAUGGAAAGAAAUUUUAUGUAUCAAACCUACGUGCAGAAUGGGAAAAGAAAUUUAAAAUUAUAUUCAGAGCCACAAAGAGAACUAUCGCCUCAGAAGGCAAUUG